GGGUUUACCCAUUGGUCAGGCCUAAUUGUCUGUACUGGUGAGAUAAAUCUCUACCUUCUGAGGAACCAUGAUGUCAUUUAUUUGGUGUUGCGGGGAAUUUGGACUGUUACUUUGAAAAAAUUAGAGUGUUUAAAGCAAGCUAACGCUUGAAUACAUUAGCAUGGAAUAAUGAAAUAGGACGUUCGAUCCUAUUUUGUUGGUUUCUAGGAUUGACGUA
rnacentral:rRNA from 1 species